AGCAUAUCAAUAAGCGGAGGAAAAGAAACCAACAGGGAUUGCCCUAGUAACGGCGAGUGAAGCGGCAACAGCUCAAAUUUGAAAUCUGGCUUCGGCCCGAGUUGUAAUUUGUAGAGGAAACUUUUGGUGAGGCACCUUCUGAGUCCCUUGGAACAGGGCGCCAUAGAGGGUGAGAGCCCCGUAUAGUCGGAUGCCGAUCCAAUGUAAAGUUCCUUCGACGAGUCGAGUAGUUUGGGAAUGCUGCUCAAAAUGGGAGGUAAAUUUCUUCUAAAGCUAAAUAUAGGCCAGAGACCGAUAGCGCACAAGUAGAGUGAUCGAAAGAUGAAAAGCACUUUGAAAAGAGGGUUAAAUAGCACGUGAAAUUGUUGAAAGGGAAGCGUUUGUGACCAGACUUGCGCCGUUCCGAUCAUCCGGUGUUCUCACCGGUGCACUCGGGGCGGCUCAGGCCAGCAUCGGUUUUGGUGGGGGGAUAAAGGUCCAGGGAACGUAGCUCCUCCGGGAGUGUUAUAGCCCUGGGCGUAAUGCCCUCGCUGGGACCGAGGUUCGCGCAUCUGCAAGGAUGCUGGCGUAAUGGUCAUCAACGACCCGUCUUGAAACACGGACCAAGGAGUCAAGGUUUUGCGCGAGUGUUUGGGUGUAAAACCCGCACGCGUAAUGAAAGUGAACGUAGGUGAGAGCUUCGGCGCAUCAUCGACCGAUCCUGAUGUAUUCGGAUGGAUUUGAGUAAGAGCGUUAAGCCUUGGACCCGAAAGAUGGUGAACUAUGCUUGGAUAGGGUGAAGCCAGAGGAAACUCUGGUGGAGGCUCGCAGCGGUUCUGACGUGCAAAUCGAUCGUCAAAUCUGAGCAUGGGGGCGAAAGACUAAUCGAACCAUCUAGUAGCUGGUACCGCG
rnacentral:rRNA from 2 species